rnacentral:sRNA from 1 species
CCUGAGCAAGUCCCAACUGUCAGUGGACUACUGGAAGAGUUGGACAAAGUUGAUCUUGUUGAGGAUGAUCAAGGGAAGAAAUUUAGAGACUAUAAGAAAACGAGCUUAGGGCGGUACUUGGAUAUAUUUGACUCUUUCCUUAAAGGCUUGGAGAGUUCACGUAAAGGAAAGCUGAUAGAACAAAGUGAUAUGAAGAUGGAAUUCUGAAGAUAGUUGAAAGUGGAUUUUUAAUGAGCAAAGUUUUAUUUCCAGAAUUGAGAGGUGCUAUAUCAAAACUGAAGUCCAUGCACUUGAGCAACUAUUGUAGAUAUGAAGAUAUGUUUAUGUGCAAACUAGUUCAAGUUUUGAUUGUUACAAGCUUUGGAAAUAUGUUCAUUUUAAUAUUGUAAGAAACAUGUUCUUUCUAACAAUCUUUCAAAUGUAAACAUAUUUCUAUACUUCUUAUAGUGUCCAAAACUUUUGUAUGGGUGAAUAUGUUAGGUAUAAAAGUAAAUGAACUUUUUUUGGUUUUUAUUUAGAUGAUAGUUUCUGAUACUAUCUUUCAUUACAAUUCUCUAUUUAUUUAAAAGCUUCCAUUUGAAACAAUAUUUUAAAAUGUUUUUUUUUUUAAAUUAUUGUUAUAUUUCUUAGACAUUAUCACAACUUUCUUGAAGUCUUUCUUGUUAUAAUAAAAUUUACAUCUCCUUAACAGCUGAGGCUCAUAUAAAAUAUUUUUAAAAUUUACUAGUUUACUUGUUUUCUUGCUGCAGAAAGUCAUGUGUGAAAGUUGUGUUUAGGUUUCAUGUCUUGCUGCAGAAAGUCAUGUGUGAAAGUUGUGUUUAGGUUUCAUGUCUUGCUGUAGAAAGUCAUGUGAAAAUUGUUUGUUGUAUUUAUCAUUGUUACAUGUAAAUAAACUUUAAAUGUUGAAUAAAAAAGUCUGUUUUUGA